rnacentral:rRNA from 1 species
ACGCUCGACACCUACGGAGGCAGCAGUGGGGAAUAUUGCACAAUGGGGGAAACCCUGAUGCAGCGACGCCGCGUGAAGGAAGAAGUAUCUCGGUACGUAAACUUCUAUCAGCAGGGAAGAAAAUGACGGUACCUGACUAAGAAGCCCCGGCUAACUACGUGUCAGCAGCCGCGGUAAUCUGAGCGGGCUGGCAAGGC